rnacentral:rRNA from 1 species
UAGACCGCGGAGGUCAUUAAAAAUACCCUUCUGUGUAUUUUACCUGUUUUUGGGAUAAUGGAAUUAGUAAAAUAUUCCAUAGAACAAGUUUUCAAACUAUUAUUCAUAAUGAUAUUAGUCUGAUUUUGUAAGUAAAACUUUCAACAACGGAUCUCUUGGUUCUCGCAUCGAUGAAGAACGCAGCGAAAUGCGAUAAGUAGUGUGAAUUGCAGAAUUCAGUGAAUCAUCGAAUCUUUGAACGCACAUUGCGCCUUCUAGUAUUCUGGGAGGCAUGCCUGUUUGAGCGUCAUAAACUUACUCAAGCAGUUUGCUUGGAUAUGAAGAAGAGCACAUAAGGCUCUCCUUUGAAAUGUAUUAGUAGAUCACUGUUUUGAUGUAAUAGUCUUAUUAGCUGUGAUUUGUAUACAACUAUAUCUUGCUUUAACAUAUAUUUUUUAUGGUCCUCAAAUCAGGUAGGGAUACCCGCUGAACUUAAGCAUAUCAAUAA